rnacentral:rRNA from 1 species
ACGGGGGGGUGCGAGCGUUGUCCGGAAUCACUGGGCGUAAAGGGCGCGUAGGCGGCCUGCUAAGUCGAACGUGAAAUCCCCGGGCUUAACCCGGGAACUGCGUCCGAUACUGGCAGGCUUGAGUCCGGGAGAGGGAUGUGGAAUUCCAGGUGUAGCGGUGAAAUGCGUAGAUAUCUGGAGGAACACCGGUGGCGAAGGCGGCAUCCUGGACCGGCAUUGACGCUGAGGUGCGAAAGCCAGGGGAGCAAACGGGA